rnacentral:rRNA from 1 species
AUUGAACGCUGGCGGCAGGCCUAACACAUGCAAGUCGAGCGGAGUGGCGAACGGGUGAGUAACACGUGGGUGACCUGCCCUGCACUUCGGGAUAAGCCUGGGAAACUGGGUCUAAUACCGGAUAGUGUGGGAUGGGCCCGCGGCCUAUCAGCUUGUUGGUGGGGUAAUGGCCUACCAAGGCGGCGACGGGUAGCCGGCCUGAGAGGGUGGACGGCCACAUUGGGACUGAGAAACGGCCCAGACUCCUACGGGAGGCAGCAGUGGGGAAGAUGGCACAAGGGGCGGAAGCCUGAUGCAGCAACGCCGCGUGGGGGAUGACGGCCUUCGGGUUGGAAACUCCUUUCACCAUCGACGCGGUAGAUGGAGAAGAAGCACCGGCUAACUACGUGCCAGCAGCCGCGGUAAUUC